AUGUACCAGUUACUUACAAUGCAUAGUUCCAUUUGCUAUGGUUCUGAAUCAACAUGUUUUCCCAUAGAACAUUUAUUUACCUACAGUACUUGCAUUGAUAUCCACGAGACAAAAAGAUGGAGAGGUAAAUUAAUUUUGGUGGGGACUAAUUGGCAAGAUGCUGCAGCUGCCAUACGUACAACAACUAAGCACACUUGCAUGGAUUGUAUGUCGUCCCCUCUUAAAACAGAUGCCCACGCCAGGCGCCAAAUCAAGCAAAGGAACAAAAGACUCCUCUAUAAAGAGAAAUGGAGCUCCAGGACAAAUAUAUCCCCUUCUCGACGAGGAAAGAUCAAGGUACCAACCAAACUAAGAAAGCCAACAAAAAAACUUUCAGGAAUAUAG
rnacentral:rRNA from 1 species